AGAGUUUGAUCCUGGCUCAGAUUGAACGCUGGCGGCAUGCCUUACACAUGCAAGUCGAACGGUAACAGGUCUUCGGAUGCUGACGAGUGGCGAACGGGUGAGUAAUACAUCGGAACGUGCCCGAUCGUGGGGGAUAACGGAGCGAAAGCUUUGCUAAUACCGCAUACGAUCUACGGAUGAAAGCAGGGGACCGCAAGGCCUUGCGCGGACGGAGCGGCCGAUGGCAGAUUAGGUAGUUGGUGGGAUAAAAGCUUACCAAGCCGACGAUCUGUAGCUGGUCUGAGAGGACGACCAGCCACACUGGGACUGAGACACGGCCAGACUCCUACGGGAGGCAGCAGUGGGGAAUUUUGGACAAUGGGCGAAAGCCUGAUCCAGCCAUGCCGCGUGCAGGGUGAAGGCCUUCGGGUUGUAAACUGCUUUUGUACGGAACGAAAAGGCUCCUUCUAAUAAAGGGGGUCCAUGACGGUACCGUAAGAAUAAGCACCGGCUAACUACGUGCCAGCAGCCGCGGUAAUACGUAGGGUGCAAGCGUUAAUCGGAAUUACUGGGCGUAAAGCGUGCGCAGGCGGUUAUAUAAGACAGAUGUGAAAUCCCCGGGCUCAACCUGGGAACUGCAUUUGUGACUGUAUAGCUAGAGUACGGCAGAGGGGGAUGGAAUUCCGCGUGUAGCAGUGAAAUGCGUA
rnacentral:rRNA from 1 species